rnacentral:lncRNA from 1 species
CCAGAUCCGGCCCCCCGAAUCACCGCAGCCCAAUCGAAGCCGCCCUGCCUCACCUGCGGGUGGUGGGUGCGUCCUCCUCGGUGGGGGAUCUGCGUGGCGGAGCUGGACGGCGGCAGCCUGGCGUGCGUCCGGCGGAGUGCUGGGGCAGCCUGGCCUGCGUCCGCCGGCCGCGACGGCAGCAAGCGCGGAGAGGAGAAGGUUUAGGGGAUCUGCGUGGGGGAGCUGCGCGGCGGCGGUUGGCCUGGCGUGCGUCCGGCGGAGUGCUGGGGUUUAGGGUGGCGUGCGUCUGCCGGCCUCGACGGCAGCAAGCGCGGAGAGGAGAAGGGUAGGGGAGCUGCGCGGCGGUUAGCAAGUGGAGAUCUUCGUGGUGACGGGAGAGGAAGGGCGUUGCGGGAGCGAGGCAGGCCGAUGGAUGGUAUGACGAUACCAUCCGGA